UCCUUAGAUGUUCUGGGCCGCACGCGCGCUACACUGACGAAUGCAACGAGCUUAUAACCUUGGCCGAAAGGUCUGGGUAAUCUCCAAAUUUCGUCGUGAUGGGGAUAGAUUAUUGCAAUUAUUAAUCUUCAACGAGGAAUGCCUAGUAAGCGCAAGUCAUCAGCUUGCGUUGAUUACGUCCCUGCCCUUUGUACACACCGCCCGUCGCUCCUACCGAUUGAAUGGUCCGGUGAAGCGUUCGGACCGUGGCCUUUGGACGGUUCGCCGUCUGUUGGCUGCGGGAAGUUCGUUAAACCUUAUCAUUUAGAGGAAGGAGAANUCGUANCA
rnacentral:rRNA from 1 species